rnacentral:rRNA from 1 species
AGUGAACGCUGGCGGUAGGCCUAACACAUGCAAGUCGAACGGCAGCACAGUAAGAGCUUGCUCUUACGGGUGGCGAGUGGCGGACGGGUGAGGAAUACAUCGGAAUCUACUUUUUCGUGGGGGAUAACGUAGGGAAACUUAUGCUAAUACCGCAUACGACCUACGGGUGAAAGCAGGGGAUCUUCGGACCUUGCGCGAUUGAAUGAGCCGAUGUCGGAUUAGCUGGUUGGCGGGGUAAAGGCCCACCAAGGCGACGAUCCGUAGCUGGUCUGAGAGGAUGAUCAGCCACACUGGAACUGAGACACGGUCCAGACUCCUACGGGAGGCAGCAGUGGGGAAUAUUGGACAAUGGGCGCAAGCCUGAUCCAGCCAUACCGCGUGGGUGAAGAAGGCCUUCGGGUUGUAAAGCCCUUUUGUUGGGAAAGAAAAGCAGCAGGUUAAUACCCCGCUGUUCUGACGGUACCCAAAGAAUAAGCACCGGCUAACUUCGUG